rnacentral:misc_RNA from 1 species
GAAACAAUAAAAAGGUUCCUCUCAUACAAAACUCUGAAUAGCAUAUGGAAACACACAUAUCAAGUGGAAUGUCAAGGUCAAAAACAAAAUAAGAAUAAAGGAAUACUUGUAGUAACUAAUCAUUUAAACAAUAUCAACUGGAUAUCCACAAGACUGAUACAAGAAGUCCAUUACAUCAAAGAUUUUAUCGCUAAAUAAAAAUUAAAAUUCAAAAAGUUGGUUGAACACUAUAUAACAUAUCAAAAUAGCAUAAAAAGAGUUAAGGGUUAUAGCAGAAUAAUUUAUUUCUACCCAAAGGAAAAUGUAUUUUAGUCUACAUCACCGCUCUUCAUACACAGUCAUCCCUUCCCAUUCAACUAAUUAUUCCAACAAGAUAUAAGCAGACCACCAUAUCAAAACAUACUAGUUAACUGAUUUGCCUUUCCUUGAAGUAACCCACUUUAGUAUGAAGUCUCCAAAAGACCAAAGCUCCAAUGUCAAUAGUUCCAAAACUGAAUGAAACACAUUUACGGUUUCCUCAAACAGAUUCAGAAAAUAGCAAGUUCAC